AUAAAUAGAGUAUUUUCAUGGUCCUCUUGAAUACCUUUUAAAUUCCUCUGAAAAUAGAGUAUUUUGAAAUGGCUUUUGGUUCUCUAACAUAUUUGAAUUUUGUCGUAUUUCAAAAAUAUCAGAGCUUACCUGGAAAAAGGUAUGAAGAAAUUGAUGGCAAUUGAUCCCCCGUUGGUAAGUAGGUCUACAGAAACAUCAAAUUUCAUGUGUGAUAAUUUGUUUUUAGCUGUGCCUACAAUACAAUGCUCAAAUAGUUAUCAUGUAUAUACAUCCCGAGCAGAGACUGGAUCGUGUUCUUGUUACCAAAAUUUAACGGUACCUGUUGUGUUUAUCAACAUAAUUGAAGUAUGGAAGAAAACAUACUCAUCGUUUCCUAAGCCACUGGCAUGGCAAAGGUUCUGCAUAAAAAGUAGUAUUGUUGCUUGCUUUAAAGUAUUUUUGUAGAUCUGCUUAUAUUGGUGCUGGAUAGCUACUUUAGGCUACUCUACGGUUCUAUUUGACUGUUUCAUGUUUUUUUGUUUAUAUUGGUUUACAUCCAUAUCCCAAUACCAUGGGCAUUUAUUCAGGUGUAUAGCUACGAAAGGAGAUGAUACCCCUUUAAUGUGACAAGUUUUAAAAUUGCUCGUUCCUUGUUUUGUCUUCUCUGUCCACAAGUUGCCAUUUUGCAGCUUUCUCAUUCUCACAAAGUCUGUUCAGUUCUGUCUAGGAGCGUAGAACUAUGGUUAUCGUCAUUGUUGGAGGCAAAAGCCAGAGCAAUUUUAUUUCUACUUUCAUGUGUCGUGAUUUUCUAUUCUGGGAAGGAAACAAUAAGGGAGGCUUAGGAUUAUUAAUGCCAUGGUCUUUGCUCUUUGAGGGUUACAUAUUUGGUCACUGAAGCCAAAUCAAGCAUUUGAGUCGCUCAGUUCGAUGGAGGACGAGCCAGAAACAGAAAACACUAUCGCAGAGGUACUUAUAGCAAAUACAGAGUGGGCCAAUAUUCGAAAAGAGCACAAGACUUGAGGAUUUGAGCAUGCUUGUAGGCCAGAAGCAUCACCUUCAGACUUUGUCACUUGUUGACAGUCUAAAAUUGACCCUGAACUGAUAUGGGCACUUGCUAAGCAAGACAUCAAAGACCAGCACUAGCUGAAGAAGAGUAUGUAGCGAGGUUAUUCGUCAAAAGUAUUUACAAACCAUGGCACAUCUAAUUGUAAGCCCCUUGACCUGGCUGGGAUCACAGCCCCACAGAUCUUUUUCGUCGUACUCUGGUCUUUAUCGCAGCCUACCGGAAAUAGGGCGUAUAAGUUGAGAUUUUAACAUGUGUGUGUGAUUGUAACCUCCGGAAUGAGCUUUUUUAUCUUCUUCUAUUAAUAU